GAGGCGGAGGUUGCAGUGAGCGGAGACUGUGCCAUUGCAUUCCAGCCUGGGCAACAUGAGCAAGACUCCAGUCUGGGCAACAAGAGCAAGAGCAUUUUAAGCUAGCAGACCCACAUGAGGAGAAGAGAUGGGAUGGGCUAGGUCCUCCACCUUCUGGGCCCCAAGAUGGAGGCUGAUCUGGAGAAGAAGUUCAAGGUGGCAAAAGCUCGGCUAGAAGAAACAGACCGGAGGACGGCAAAGGAUGUGAUGGAGAAUGGCGAGACUGCUGACCAGACCCUGUCUCUGAUUGAGCAGCUCCGGGGGGAGGCCCUUAAGUUCCACAAGCCUGGUACGUACCCGGUUCCCGCCAGAACCCAAUGGAAUCCUGCAUAUUGGACAUGCCAAAGCCAUCAAUUUCAACUUCGGCUAUGCCAAGGCCAACAAUGGCAUCUGUUUUCUGCGUUUUGAUGACACCAACCCUGAGAAGGAGGAAGCAAAGUUCUUCACGGCCAUCUGUGACAUGGUGGCCUGGCUAGGCUACACACCUUACAAAGUCACAUAUGCGUCUGACUAUUUUGACCAGCUAUAUGCGUGGGCUGUGGAGCUCAUCCGCAGGGGUCUGGCUUAUGUGUGCCACCAGCGAGGAGAGGAGCUCAAAGGCCAUAAUACUCUGCCUUCACCCUGGAGAGACCGUCCCAUGGAGGAGUCACUGCUG
rnacentral:sRNA from 1 species